rnacentral:rRNA from 1 species
CGCCUGCCAGCCCGCUCAGAACUAAGGAAUUGACGGGGCCGGCACAAGCGGUGGAGCAUGUGGUUAAUUCGAAGCAACGCGAAGAACCUUACCAGGCCUUGACAUGCAGAGAACUUUCCAGAGAUGGAUUGGUGCCUUCGGGAACUCUGACACAGGUGCUGCAUGGCUGUCGUCAGCUCGUCGUCGUGAGAUGUUGGGUUAACGUCCCGUAACGAGCGCAACCCUUGUCCUUAGUUACCAGCACGUUAUGGUGGGCACUCUAAGGAGACUGCCGGUGACAAACCGGAGGAAGGUGGGGAUGACGUCAAGUCAUCAUGGCCCUUACGGCCUGGGCUACACACGUGCUACAAUGGUCGGUACAAAGGGUUGCCAAGCCGCGAGGUGGAGCUAAUCCCAUAAAACCGAUCGUAGUCCGGAUCGCAGUCUGCAACUCGACUGCGUGAAGUCGGAAUCGCUAGUAAUCGUGAAUCAGAAUGUCACGGUGAAUACGUUCCCGGGCCUU